rnacentral:antisense_RNA from 1 species
ACUAAAAAUACACAAAUUAGCCGGGCGUGGUGGCGCGCGCCUGUAAUCCCAG